UUGGUUUUGGUGGAGGUGUCUACAGGGCAGAAGGGAGCAGGGAGGAAUGUCCCUGUCCUUGUCUCUGUGACAGUGCCAGCUGAAGAGAUCCUGCUGCAUGCCCAGCCUCCCACCAGCCUGUGCCUUCCUUCCUACUGCGUGCAAUGCCUCCACAAAAACACAUUUAGAACCUUGUGAGCAGAUCCAGGAUCAAUGUAACAGCUCAAAAGGAAAAUGCUGCCUCAGAGGAUAAAAUUCCUGGAUCUGCACUCUCUGUCCUGAAAUCCCAAGCCCUGCCUGGGACAAAGGUCUUUCUUACCCACCACCUUCACUAUUGGGAAAUUUUCCUGACUUACUUCAUCAAAAUUCAUGGUUUGAAAGUUCAGAUCCGCAGUGAUCUGGGGCGCAGAUCUGUUGAACAGAUUCAAUGUCCCUUCACAUCUGUCCAAGCUCAUCUGGGUGGACCUAAGCCCUGCACUCUGAAAACUGGCUCUGUGAGAGAGAAGUGGUGGUUGUUCUUCCCUCCUUACUCAGGAUGGGUUCUGCUGUGCCUCCCACUGAUUUACAAAACCCUCCAAGUGCCCCUGGUCCUGUCUGCAGGUGAAAUGGAGGGUUACUGGCAGCACCUCCCUCUCUGCCCUCCCCUCCUCAGGGCUGGGAAGCUCCAUGUGCUGGAGCAGUGCAGGAAGCUGUCACACAGCUCCCUGUGCCCCCACCCAGGUCCUGCAGCUGAUCUGCUCUUCUGCUCAAAGGUCCCAGGGCUUUGGUCAUUCUGAAGGCUCAGGUUUCUGCUCUUCCUUACACUCAGUGUCCUUUGAUCUUUGCCUGCUUCAUGCUUAUCUCUCUGUCCCACUCAGUAAAGUGAGAUUUAUGCUGGUAGAUAAGAUAGGAAGGCUGUUAUAUUUGGGUAUGGGAAAAUAAAACAUUGUCAAGAGCCAGGCUGACCAUGAAUGGAAGGAAAACAGAUCACCUGGCAAGGUCCAAGGCUCAAGGACCCCUUUACAAAGGUGCCUGUGCAGGGGAAGCCGGAGCCAUCGCUCUCCUCCUGCUACACCAGGCUGAGAGAGGCUUGGGAUACACCUCAAAUCCAUGGAUGCUCCCUGCACUCCAGUGUGGCUGGUACAAUUGGGAUGUGCUCCAUUGAAUUUACAAUGUUUAGCUGACUCCUGUGCUUGCCAUGGGGGUCGCUUCCCUGACUGUAUAUUAGAGUCUAGUGCUCGUUAGUGGCUGCUUGUUGCUUUUACUGCUGCUCUGGUGCUUAUCACCUCGCUGGAUCAUGCCUGGGAACACUGAUAACAGCCAUGAAGGGCCUGGGCUGGCAGGUGGCCAGGGCAGUGCUGCUGGGUCUGUGCUGGACAGGCUGGAACUCGGGUCUGAACCCGAGCUGAGGGGACUGAGAGUGUGAAUGAGUCCAGCACGGAGCAGAGAUCCAUCGCAGGCCAUGGAGGAACCCACGCCCCAGCAGGGGGGUGCCUGGAGGGAAUGGCCUCUGUGGGGUCUGUGCUGGAGCAGGUUUGCUGCAGGACCUGUGAGCCCUUGGGAGAGCCAAGCUGGAGCAGCUGGAAUUACUAAAACAGGCACCAUUCAAACCAAAGCAGGAGAAGCCUCCAAAGAAGCAGUGGCAAGGCAGCAGUGACCUGACCAGAGCUGCCUUUGGUGCCCAAUAACUCUCCUCACCCAGUGCCUCUGCUGUCCUGAGUGACCACCAGGAUAGAUGGAGCUCAAAGCCAUGGACUAAAUGAAUUAACAGGCAUUUUGUUGAUGCUAUAUAAACAUUUUCCAGAGUGGUCCAUAGACUAAGGGAAUGAUAUCUGUGUGUUAUAUCAAAGAAUGAAAAGAGGGGUGGUGGCUAUUGAAGUUGUACUGAAUAGUGUGGGACCUGGAAUGGUGUAAAGGGUAUGGAAUAUGAGGUGGAGUGGUCUGGGUUUGGCUGCAGUAGAGUUAUUUUCUUCCCAGUGUGCUGUAUUUUGUAUUUGUGCUGACCACAGGGUUGAUAACAUGGAGAUGUUUUUGUUAUUGCUGAGCAGAGCUUGCACAGAGCCAAGGGCUUUUCUUCUUCUCAUCCUGCCUUGCUGCCAAGGAAGUGGGUGUGUGGUGGAGCUGGGGAGGAGACAGGGGCAGGACAGGUGAUCCCAACUGACCAAAGGGAUAUUCCAUAGCAUCUGUGCUUGGGGUGGCCACUGCAGAGUGGGGUGUGUGUGGAGGAUGGCACGUGUCCCUGUGGAUGCUCCACAGGCAGGUCAGGGGAGGGGAGAGGUGCAGGAUGAGGCUCCAGCAGAGGUUUUACCUGCAUGAUGGCUGGGAAGGGGGACAGAUGAGACAGAGGAAAUUGUAUAGUAGUGUUUUCAGUUUUCUGCUGCCAGUAGGCAAAUCACCACCUUUACAGGAACUUACAGGAAAGAUGGGGCAAGACUAUUUACAAGAGCAUGUAGUGACAAGAAAAGGGGCAGUGGGUCCAGAUUCAAAGAGAUUAGGUUUAGAGUAGAUAUCAGGAAAAUAUUUUUUGCUGUGAGGGUGGGCAGGCCCUGGCACAGGGUGCCCAGAGAAGCUGUGACUGCCCCAGGAUCCCUGGAAGUGUCCAAGGCCAGGUUGGACAUGGCUUGGAGCAACUUGGGAUAGUGGAAGGUGUCCCUGCCCAUGGCAGGGGGUGGGAGCUGGAUGCCCUUCAAGGUCCCCUUCCAACCCAAACCAUUCUGUGAUUCUAUGACCCUUUAGAGCAGAAAGCUGCAGGUGUCCUGUGGCACCCAGGAGCCCUUGGGUCCCACAAAGUAGAUUGAAGAGAGCUGGAGAGAAGGCAAAAACAUUAAUGCUCUCAUAGUAGUGCCUUGUGCUUCCUACAGAGCAUUUUAUCACAGGAAUGCCAAGUGUUUUGCAAGAUCUUAAAUAAUUAAGCCUUAGAUCAGUGCCAUGCAAGACAGAAAUAUCUCCCUUCCUCCUCAAUUUCAUCUGUCUGGGAUGGCCCAGCUGGGAGCCAA